AUUAGAUCGCUUUGGUAACAGCUGAUGGGAGGCAGGAGGUGGGAAAAGAAGGAGUUCCCCAAAAAGGAGAAGAGAGCUGUUCCCAUAAAAAGAGAAGAGUGCAUCUAGGGGAAAUAUGAAUAUCUUCUGCUGGGAUAAAUGCUCUGCCACAUUCCUUGGGAUUCCAGGAUCAAUACAUAGAUUAACUAAAGCUGUGAUGACUGGAGUUUAAGCAGCCAUCUUGGUCCAGAAGGUGGUGGAAACAUUUUGAGGAUGAUAAUACUAUCGUGUAGAAGGAGUCUAAGUCCCUGAUGAUUACGGAGCUGCCCUACAAGUCCUGAACUACUGACUCCCCAUCUUUGUUAAUAUGAAAGAGAAAUAAACUUUUAUUUAAGUCACUGUC